AGAUGGCGCCGCUGAUGGUACAGCUGAAAUGUGGACUCCACUUGCAAAGACAAAGAUUUACUACUUUACUCCAACAUACAAGUUCGUAUCAUAUUUGGAGAGGAGGUAACACACCGAAAGGGAAGCAACAGACGACUUAUUUGCUGAGCCCCAACCUGAGGACAGCCUCAUGGACAGUCAACAGAAGUGACAACAGACGUAUACUGGAGGCUGCAAAGCAUUUGCAGGUGACCGAGAGGACAUGUUGGCACGGCAAUGCAGGUGGAAGGCUGAACGCAGAUCCCAAAAACGUGGUAGGAAAACAAAUCGUACUUCCAACUGUUCUAUAACAGAGGCAUGUUUUAUUAGCUCCAUGAUCAGCAUGUAAACAGAGAGAGAAGGUGAUCAUUCAUUUAUUCCUGACUCCGGUCUGUAGGGAAAGACUCACCUUUACUGUCAUAGGCAACUGACUGUUAAUUCAUACCACUACUAGACCAGCAACAUCUGACUGUUAAUUCAUACCUCCACUACUAGACCAGCAACAACUGACUGUUAAUUCAUACCUCCACUACUAGACCAGCAACAACUGACUGUUAAUUCAUACCUCCACUACUAGACCAGCUAAUAGUUUGUGACAAAACAAGCAGUUGUUGUGUAAAGAAUCAUCGCUGUGAAAUGUAUUUUCAUGUUGAAGCUGAUGUACAAAACUGAAAGUGAAAGCUGCAUAAACUUGAGAACGGGAAGCAUAGAAAGAGCUCACGUAGAACCGAUCUACCACUUCUUAGACUGGCUUUCAAUGAGAGUGAUAGAUCUAUAACACAUAGAACAGAUGUACCACUUCUUAGACUGGCUUUCAAUGAGAGUGAUAGAUCUAUAACACAUAGAACAGAUGUACCACUUCUUAGACUGGCUUUCAAUGAGAGUGAUAGAUCUAUAACACAUAGAACAGAUGUACCACUUCUUAGACUGGCUUUCAAUGAGAGUGAUAGAUCUAUAACACAUAGAACAGAUCUACCACUUCUUAGACUGGCUUUCAAUGAGUG